AUUGAACGCUGGCGGCAUGCCUUACACAUGCAAGUCGAACGGCAGCACGGGAGCAAUCCUGGUGGCGAGUGGCGAACGGGUGAGUAAUACAUCGGAACGUGCCCAGUAGUGGGGGAUAGCCCGGCGAAAGCCGGAUUAAUACCGCAUACGACCUGAGGGUGAAAGCGGGGGAUCGCAAGACGUCGCGCUAUUGGAGCGGCCGAUGUCAGAUUAGCUAGUUGGUGGGGUAAAGGCCUACCAAGGCAACGAUCUGUAGUUGGUCUGAGAGGACGACCAGGCACACUGGACUGAGACACGGCCCAGACUCCUACGGGAGGCAGCAGUGGGGAAUUUUGGACAAUGGGGGCAACCCUGAUCCAGCAAUGCCGCGUGCAGGAAGAAGGCCUUCGGGUUGUAAACUGCUUUUGUCAGGGAAGAAAUCUUCUGGGUUAAUACCCCGGGAGGAUGACGGUACCUGAAGAAUAAGCACCGGCUAACUACGUGCCAGCCGCCGCGGUAAGAC
rnacentral:rRNA from 1 species